CCAAAUUGCGAUUCGAAGAUGUGCAGAAGAUUGCGGAGACACACUCAGCAACACCACAGCCCAGGCUGACAAAGGGGUACACGUUUUUUGUGGAGGAGUUUGUACACAAUUAUCAAGAUCACCCUGGAGGCUGUUGGACAACUGGGUCUCUCAGAGCUGUAGCUGUGCUGCGGGCAAAGGCUUCUGUAGCCAUAUAACCGCUCUGCUGUUCCAGACAGCGCAUUAUGUGCAGCUGGGCCUUGAUGUGGUUCCACCUUCCCUGGCCUGUACCAGUCAACCACAGAUGUGGCAUCGACCUCGAACCCACGUGUGCUGUUGUGUCCUCUGUUCAAAUCAUACACAGUAUUUGUCUAAAGUAUGAGCAUUUCCUGUAUUGUUGUUCGCCUCAGGGAAUCCAUCCAGAGGCUGUGAGUGACCUGGUGGUGAAGAAACCCAAGUCGGUGGGGAAGACUGGAGUCAAGUCUACACUCUACAGAGCGUAUGCUGAGGGAAUAUCCAGCUUGGAGUUGGUACCAUCUCAGCUGUGCUAACCUGGAAGAUGUCAGCAAUGACCUGUUCUUUAAGGCCAGUUGCUACUCUACAACAGUAGAUGAAAAACUCAUCAAUGACUGGAAUCUUCCUUGAAGGGCGUGGUGUUGGAAUCGCCUCUUGUCCAAUCCUCUGUGCUUUGCUCCAAUAAAGAAUAUAUCGUGUUGAGGGGCAAAAAAGACUCCCAAAACACUUGAAACACUUCUUGAGAUGGAAACCGAGUAUAAUAUGUCAUGGUCUGAUCAGACACACAAAACCUGUUGAGGACAGUUUGUGGCCCCAUGG